GUGGGGAAUAUUGGACAAUGGGCGAAAGCCUGAUCCAGCAAUGUCGCGUGAGUGAUGAAGGCCUUAGGGUUGUAAAGCUCUUUUACCAGGGAUGAUAAUGACAGUACCUGGAGAAUAAGCUCCGGCUAACUCCGUGCCAGCAGCCGCGGUAAUACGGAGGGAGCUAGCGUUGUUCGGAAUUACUGGGCGUAAAGCGCACGUAGGCGGGUACUCAAGUCAGAGGUGAAAGCCCGGGGCUCAACCCCGGAACUGCCUUUGAAACUAGGUAACUAGAAUCUUGGAGAGGUCAGUGGAAUUCCGAGUGUAGAGGUGAAAUUCGUAGAUAUUCGGAAGAACACCAGUGGCGAAGGCGACUGACUGGACAAGUAUUGACGCUGAGGUGCGAAAGCGUGGGGAGCAAACAGGAUUAGAUACCCGGGUAGUCC
rnacentral:rRNA from 1 species